rnacentral:rRNA from 1 species
ACGUAGGUGGCAAGCGUUAUCCGGAAUGAUUGGGCGUAAAGGGUGCGUAGGUGGUGCGAUAAGUCUGAAGUAAAAGGCAACAGCUCAACUGUUGUUCGCUUCGGAAACUGUCGUACUAGAGUGCAGGAGAGGGCGAUGGAAUUCCAUGUGUAGCGGUAAAAUGCGUAGAUAUAUGGAGGAACACCAGUGGCGAAGGCGGUCGCCUGGCCUGCAACUGACACUGAUGCACGAAAGCGUGGGGAGCAAAUAG